UCUCUAUAUUCGUGUCUUUCAU
rnacentral:miRNA from 1 species